rnacentral:rRNA from 1 species
GAUGAACGCUGGCGGCGUGCUUAACACAUGCAAGUCGAACGGAAAGGCUCCUGCUUGCAGGGGUACUCGAGUGGCGAACGGGUGAGUAACACGUGGGUGAUCUGCCCUGCACUUCGGGAUAAGCCUGGGAAACUGGGUCUAAUACCGGAUAGGACGAUGGUUUGGAUGCCAUUGUGGAAAGUUUUUUCGGUGUGGGAUGAGCUCGCGGCCUAUCAGCUUGUUGGUGGGGUAAUGGCCUACCAAGGCGUCGACGGGUAGCCGGCCUGAGAGGGUGUAAGGCCACAAUGGGACUGAGGUACGGGCCAGACCCCUAAGGGAGGGAGGAGUGGGGAAUAUUGCACAAUGGGGGGAAGGCUGAUGCAGCGAAGCCGCGUUGGGGAUGACCGCCUUCGGGUUGUAAACUCCUUUCGCUAGGGACGAAGCGCAAGUGACGGUACCUGGAGAAGAAGCACCGGCUAACUACGUG